AGAGUUUGAUCCUGGCUCAGAUUGAACGCUGGCGGCAUGCCUUACACAUGCAAGUCGAACGGCAGCACGAGAGCUUGCUCUUGGUGGCGAGUGGCGAACGGGUGAGUAAUAUAUCGGAACGUACCCUAGAGUGGGGGAUAACGUAGCGAAAGUUACGCUAAUACCGCAUACGAUCUACGGAUGAAAGUGGGGGAUCGCAAGACCUCAUGCUCAUGGAGCGGCCGAUAUCUGAUUAGCUAGUUGGUGGGGUAAAAGCUCACCAAGGCGACGAUCAGUAGCUGGUCUGAGAGGACGACCAGCCACACUGGAACUGAGACACGGUCCAGACUCCUACGGGAGGCAGCAGUGGGGAAUUUUGGACAAUGGGCGCAAGCCUGAUCCAGCAAUGCCGCGUGAGUGAAGAAGGCCUUCGGGUUGUAAAGCUCUUUUGUCAGGGAAGAAACGGUGGACUCUAAUACAGAUCACUAAUGACGGUACCUGAAGAAUAAGCACCGGCUAACUACGUGCCAGCAGCCGCGGUAAUACGUAGGGUGCAAGCGUUAAUCGGAAUUACUGGGCGUAAAGCGUGCGCAGGCGGUUGUGCAAGACAGAUGUGAAAUCCCCGGGCUCAACCUGGGAAUUGCAUUUGUGACUGCACGGCUAGAGUGUGUCAGAGGGGGGUAGAAUUCCACGUGUAGCAGUGAAAUGCGUAGAGAUGUGGAGGAAUACCGAUGGCGAGGGCAGCCCCCUGGGAUAACACUGACGCUCAUGCACGAAAGCGUAGGGAGCAAACAGGAUUAGAUACCCUGGUAGUCCACGCCCUAAACGAUGUCUACUAGUUGUCGGGUCUUAAUUGACUUGGUAACGCAGCUAACGCGUGAAGUAGACCGCCUGGGGAGUACGGUCGCAAGAUUAAAACUCAAAGGAAUUGACGGGGACCCGCACAAGCGGUGGAUGAUGUGGAUUAAUUCGAUGCAACGCGAAAAACCUUACCUACCCUUGACAUGUCUGGAAUCCUUGAGAGAUCAGGGAGUGCUCGAAAGAGAAUCAGAACACAGGUGCUGCAUGGCUGUCGUCAGCUCGUGUCGUGAGAUGUUGGGUUAAGUCCCGCAACGAGCGCAACCCUUGUCAUUAGUUGCUACGAAAGGGCACUCUAAUGAGACUGCCGGUGACAAACCGGAGGAAGGUGGGGGUGACGUCAAGUCCUCAUGGCCCUUAUGGGUAGGGCUUCACACGUCAUACAAUGGUACAUACAGAGGGCCGCCAACCCGCGAGGGGGAGCUAAUCCCAGAAAGUGUAUCGUAGUCCGGAUUGUAGUCUGCAACUCGACUACAUGAAGUUGGAAUCGCUAGUAAUCGCGGAUCAGCAUGUCGCGGUGAAUACGUUCCCGGGUCUUGUACACACCGCCCGUCACACCAUGGGAGCGGGUUUCACCAGAAGUGGGUAGCCUAACCGCAAGGAGGGCGCUCACCACGGUGGGAUUCGUGACUGGGGUGAAGUCGUAACAAGGUA
rnacentral:rRNA from 1 species